GCCGGAAUAGCUCAGUCGGUAGAG
rnacentral:tRNA from 3 species